AUGGAAAAACUGAUGAUUAUUGUGCUUUUCUUCUCAGCACAGGACUCUGUGUCGUGGGGGCAAGACAGAGUUGAACAGCCUUUAGGAGAAAUGACUGCAACUAAAGGAGAUCCAGUUACUCUACAGUGCAAUUAUUCUACCAUUGCUACAAAUGCUUAUCUCUUCUGGUACAAACAGCUACCAAACAGAUCACCAACAUUCAUUCUGAGUGAAUUUACAAUUGGUAAAGGAACUACUGAAGAUGAAUUUAAAGAGAGAUUUUCUGCAACAUUGGACUCCAAAUCAAGCACAGUUCGACUGACAAUCAAGAAUCUGCGUGUGUCUGACUCUGCUGUGUACUACUGUGCUCUGAAGCCCACAGUGACUGAAACAUACUCAACACUCAUACAAAAACAGAACUAA